GGGGAGGGGGCGCCGUGGGCUCCUGCCAGUCCUGGCUCCGCCCUAAGAGCUGGUCCCACUGACGCCUCAUCGUCGUUAACUGCUACGCCACCAUGCCACGGGACGUGGUCGAGCGGUGAGCACCGCCGAGGUCAAGGGCAAGCCUCGCUUCACGGACUUCGGGCUCGUGUUUCUAGGUUUGAGAUCGACCUGGGCAAUCAGAUCGACUGGUUCAAAGGAAUGCGCCGCGUCUGGGUCCAGAUUUGAGCUAAAAAUGGAAGCUUUGCGUGGUUCUAGGUUUCCUUUGCGUGAAGAUUUGAGCUUUCUGGGAGUUGCGCUUUCGAAACUUUGACGAAAAGUUCUUCCUUUUCCAAGGUGAUUUUUCUUUCUUCUCCUUUUGCUAGAUACCUUCAAAUUGUGCUUCAUUUAUUCAACAAUAUCGGAUUCGGAUCUUUCCUCAAGGUCUUGGUGAAUAACUUGGAUGUUCUUCUCGGGUAUGGCCUUCAUAGUGUUCUGUUAAGUAACCUAGAUGAAGCUUGCUUAAAACAUUGUGUGAUUUGUGGGCUGCUGUGCUAGAAAUUUGUGGUCGUGGUGCAUAUAGUGGAAUAUGGUUGGUUCAGGGUUUUUCGUCCAACAGAGAUCGUUCAUUCCAGUAGUAUUAGUAAACGAUUGAUGCCCCAUGCGGCAAGUGAAGCUACCAAAAGAGCUACAGAGCAUAACUGUAAUCAAAUAUCAUGUAGCUUUCCAGAUGAGGACUUCAGCAUUUUUUAGUAAUGUUUCAAACUGCAAGUGUGUUUCAGGUUGUCAAUAUCUGAUAUAAUGAAAUGGAAACUAUUUGGGGAA